AAAUGUCUCGUGACCAUCCGGGGACCAAGCUGUGCCCUAAACCCAGAGCUCUGGACUCCAAAGGCAAGGGCCUGCUCGUGAAAAGCUUCCUCUGCUGUGUCCUGCUGCGUUCAGGAGUUUGCCGUUAGAGAAAGAAGAUGAGAGCAUCUCCUGGGUGGAACCCAGCUGGCCCAGGCCUGAUGGGCUCUCUGUUCCCCUGGCCUGUGGGGCCGCAGUCUGCAGCCUGCAGGUGGGGAGGGGUCCUCUCUGUCGACCAGACACCACUGACCAGGACACGUGAGGGCUCCGUGGACCAGAACGACAGAGCUUGGCCCCCUGCUGGCCGGACGUCCCCUCCCCUCGGAAGACCCCCUGCUCUGCAUCUGCACCCGUACCUCCCGUCUCCCGAAUCCUCCCUCAGCUGGCUCCAGUGUGCACUCAGCGCGCAAGCAGUUCAUACCUAGGUAUGUGUCAGCUAGAAAAGUUGGGCUCCUUCAAGGGACUCAAGAAAGAGUAGGGGCCCUUCCAGAGGUCACGGCACAAACCAUCGAAGUGAUGGAGAGACAGCAGGGCCGGUGGGGAGGAUCGUGGCCCUGGACUCGAGAGGGGAGAAGUGCCGUGGGCCUGUCCUUUUCUUUGCAUCCCCAGAUGUUAGCAAAGGAUGUUGUCUUGGUCUGUGCACUCAAGUCGGAAAGAAGAAUUUUCUAGAUGUCCAGCAAGGUGAAGAAAAGGCACAUUUAUUGAGGCGAAGGACACCAUUAAAGGCAGGAGGCGGAUUUCCUGAUCAUCCGGGAGAGACGACAGUGAGCACGAGGUGGAAGCUACAAGGAAGGCCUGAAAAAGAGUAACUGCGACGAGUGACUCCCUGACCCCCCAGCCCUAGCCCUGCAGGCUCCUCUUUGUCGGGCCCCCACAGUGAGUUUUACUUUCUCGACCGCACCCCCAACAUGCAAAAUUUCCCAAGCCAGCGAUCAAACCUGAGCCACAGCAGUAACCAGAGUCACAGCAGUGACAAUGCUGACUCCUUAACCCCCUGAACCACCAAGGAACGCCAGAGGCUGUGCUUUGUAUUGAGGUGCAGUUCAGGAGCAUAACCUAAGGUAUGUACCAGCAAGCUCUCCACUUUGCAGACAAGAAAACAGGCACAGAGAAGCUAACUGCUCAAAGCUGCUAGCUGGCGCAGCCGGGGUUUGGAUCCAAGAAGCCUGACUUCAAGGCUCUGUUUCUGUGGGGGACACUGCCAGGGGCCCCCCGUCCAUUCUCUCCCCCCUCGGUAAAGAAUAGUUUACUCUAGAAUAUUGCCUCCUAGAGUAGAAGACAUUUCUUAGCCUCCUGCAGCUGUAUGUGUGCAUAUGAAUAAGUUCCACCCUUUGAAAUAUCAGUGGCAGAUGGAGCUGGGCACUCUGAGCUGUUCCCUUAACAAGGAGGAGGCGUGCACGUACUUCUUCCUCCUGUUUGGAACAGAGAUGUGAUGGCUGAAGCUCCCGAAGCCACUUUGCACUGUGAGAAAAGCACAGACUCCUUCAUGGUGGCCGGCUCUGCUCGUUGUGACUUGUAGUAACCAUCACCAGACCCGCAGCCAACUUCUGUAAGACGUGUGCAGGGCUCCUGGGAGCCCCGAGGGACCUCGGGAGGGAAAGGAACACCUGCCUUCUAGCAGCUGGCAGACCGCAGCCAGUCCUGAUGGAGAGCCCCGAGGAAAGGCGGGCUGUGAGAACACAGGAUACUGGCCCCGGACAGCUGAGAUGCACAUCAAAGAAAUGAUUUCAGUGAGCCCAGACCUUGGCAUCUUCCCAAAUAAAAGUGCUAAAUUCCUUAACUUGAGACCUCUGGUUUUGUUAUUAGCAGCAAUCUUUUGUCCCUAUUUGCCAUUUUGCAAAACUCCUAUGGAUCCUGGC